UACGUAGGGUGCAAGCGUUAAUCGGAAUUACUGGGCGUAAAGCGUGCGUAGGCGGUUGCGCAAGACAGGUGUGAAAGCCCCGGGCUCAACCUGGGAAUUGCAUUUGAAACUACAAGGCUAGAGUGUGGCAGAGGGGGGUAGAAUUCCACGUGUAGCAGUGAAAUGCGUAGAUAUGUGGAGGAAUACCGAUGGCGAAGGCAGCCCCCUGGGUUAACACUGACGCUCAUGCACGAAAGCGUGGGGAGCAAACAGG
rnacentral:rRNA from 1 species